AUUGAACGCUGGCGGCAGGCCUAACACAUGCAAGUCGAGCGAGCGGCGGACGGGUGAGUAAUGUAUGGGGACUGCCCGAUAGAGGGGGAUAACUACUGGAAACGGUAGCUAAUACCGCAUACUAUCGGAUAACCCAUAUGGGAUUAGCUAGUAGGUGGGGUAAUGGCUCACCUAGGCGACGAUCCCUAGCUGGGCUGAGAGGAUGAUCAGCCACACUGGGACUGAGGAACGGCCCAGCGCACUCGGGAGGGAGCAGUGGGGAAUAUUGCACAAUGGGCGCAAGCCUGAUGCAGCCAUGCCGCGUGUAUGAAGAAGGCCUUCGGGUUGUAAAGUACUUUCAGCGGGGAGGCGUUACCCGCAGAAGAAGCACCGGCUAACUCCGUGCCAGCCGCCGCGGUAAGUC
rnacentral:rRNA from 1 species